rnacentral:rRNA from 1 species
CCUACGGGAGGCAGCAGUAAGGAAUCUUGCGCAAUGGGCGAAAGCCUGAUGCAGCAACGCCGCGUGCGCGAAGAAGGCCUUCGGGUCGUAAAGCGCUUUUCUGGGAGAUGAGCAAGGACAGUAUCCCAGGAAUAAGUCUCGGCUAACUACGUGCCAGCAGCCGCGGUAAAACGUAGGAGGCAAGCGUUAUCCGGAUUCACUGGGCGUAAAGCGCGUGCAGGCGGUUCGGUAAGUUGGGCGUGAAAUCUCCUGGCUCAACUGGGAGAGGUUGUUCAAUACUACCGGACUCGAGAGCAGGAGAGGAAGACGGAAUUCCCGGUGUAGCGGUAAAAUGCGUAGAUAUCGGGAGGAACACCAGUGGCGAAGGCGGUCUUCGGGACUGUUUCUGACGCUCAGACGCGAAAGCUAGGGGCGCGAACGGGAUUAGAUCCCCCGGUAGU